CAAGAAGAAUAAAUCUUCCGGUUGAAUAUGAAGGAAGGUCAACGUGUGUGUCUCGUCUUUCUCAUACUACAGAUUCCCUGUCACUGCUAUUGGGUGUGAAGAUGAAGACAGAAUGCUGACUAACGGUACUGCAACAAAGUAUCAACUUGCAAACGUGUGCAACCAGACAGACUCCGGAUUUACUGGGUCUUCCUGUAAAUGGGACAGGGCAUCUUUUUUCUUGGCCCAGCCAGACUCCAUGUGAGCUACAGCAGGACCUCACCAGGUGAAAACAGGAUACAAGGUCUGCCAUAAUGAGGCAAAAACCUCUUCCUGCUCUUCCUUCCCAAGGCAUUUCUGACAGACUAUGGACUCAAGUCAUCAUCGAUCCAAGGUGGAGUCGCUGUGGUUGCCUGUCAGAACAUCGAAUUGACCUGGCUGCAGCUCACCAGUUCAGUGUCACAACCCCUGUGGCCUCUGUCGCAGCAGGUGCCUUUGCUCAGACGUGAAAGUGAGCCGCAGUGUUAAGGAUACACAGGGAUGUGAUACUGUUGAGGCAAUAGUAGUACAUGGGCGUAUUUGUGUUGCUGACAGUUUCAUACCCUCCAAAUUCAGCAGACCGUAAUGCAUACUGUUGUCCUGACAAAAAAGAUAUACUGUAUGCUCAGAUUGAAUUUAAGCACAUUUUGCUGUCUGUUUGAGGAUAUGAGACCCAGUUCAGAUGUCCAUCCAUCACCUCACUGCGUGACGCGUGGCACAGGUCUUGUGUGUGAUCCUUUUGAACACGGUAUCAAGUGAACACUAACUUGCAGCUGUGGAGAAUGGGGAGACGUGGUGUGGAGAAACGUGCCAGAGUCAUAAUCUGCUGUCUCACUUAGCAAGAAGCGUUCCCUCGUCAGACGGACCUGUUGGGCCAUUUCGGCAGCUUGUAAACACAAGUCGGUCUGCGUGCAAGCUGUCAUUUCAGCUCCAUGCUAUCUGCUUUAUAAGACCUUUGAAAAUGGCAGUGAUGGCUGGAAAAAAAAAAAAGUCAACAAUUGGCACUGUACUGUGCUAUGCUGUGUUGGCAAAAACAAAAGCAACAAGCUGAGAAACAAGAAAAAACAACAGGGGAGUUCUGAAUGAUCUGAAAGGCAGCGUAAACAAGUCCAACUGCACUGAAUUAAAAAUAAAGUUCAACAUAAUCACUGA